rnacentral:rRNA from 1 species
GAGUUUGAUCCUGGCUCAGGACGAACGCUGGCGGCGUGCCUAACACAUGCAAGUCGAGCGAGUGGAUUUCCUUCGGGAUUGAAGCUAGCGGCGGACGGGUGAGUAACACGUGGGCAACCUGCCUCAUAGAGGGGAAUAGCCUCCCGAAAGGGAGAUUAAUACCGCAUAAGAUUGUAGCUUCGCAUGAAGUAGCAAUUAAAGGAGCAAUCCGCUAUGAGAUGGGCCCGCGGCGCAUUAGCUAGUUGGUGAGGUAACGGCUCACCAAGGCGACGAUGCGUAGCCGACCUGAGAGGGUGAUCGGCCACAUUGGGACUGAGACACGGCCCAGACUCCUACGGGAGGCAGCAGUGGGGAAUAUUGCACAAUGGGGGAAACCCUGAUGCAGCAACGCCGCGUGAGUGAUGACGGCCUUCGGGUUGUAAAGCUCUGUCUUCAGGGACGAUAAUGACGGUACCUGAGGAGGAAGCCACGGCUAACUACGUGCCAGCAGCCGCGGUAAUUC